GGUACCCACUAGGGUCAGAAUGGGUUGGGUCGAGGGUUUCAGACUUGUUCAAAAGUUUGAAACUCUAUUCAGGUCGAGGGCUCGAGGGUUUCUGAGUAAGGGUCAAGGGUUUCAUCUGCCAUUCUAUGCUCUCUUCCAUUCUUUCAUCAUUCUCACAGUCGAAGGUUUCUCCCCCAUUAUCUGAGUAAGGUUCGAGGGUUUCCUCCUGCCAUUCUCUGGUCUCUGCCAUUCUUUCACAAUUCUCACGGUCGAAAGUUUCUUUUCCAUUCUCUGAAUAAGGGUUGAGGGAGCAGCUCCUCUUCUCUCACUGCCCAUGCAAGGUGCAACCUCAAAGGCCUGAAACAGGAGAUUUACAUGGUGUUGUGGAGCGCUGGAUGAGCAACAUUGGCAAAUGGGAUAUCACGUCACAAAAGCUAGAGCUCUUGCUUCUACAGUGAAUAGUUCGAGGUGAAAUCAACUACUCCUGUGUUUUAGCCCAAGGCUACGCCAAUGGGCAUAGUGGAUUUUUCUUGCAAUAGUUCUUUCACUUUGAUCAGGUGUAUUAGUUUAGCAAGAUUUGGUAUGGACAGAACAUUGUUAUAGCAUCUAAUCCAUGGUUUCUGAUGUAUUUUUAAAGGAUUUAAUUUUUUGGGUAGUAGUUUUCUACGAUGGUUGGGGGUUAAUAAGGGGCCAUGUUUGUAUUUUGACAUCAUUUCACUUAUGAUCAAGAAAGUUAUUUUUUUACUGAUUUAAAAAAAAAAGUCAUUGUCUUUGUUGUCCUA